rnacentral:tRNA from 1 species
GGGCCCGUAGCUCAGUGGUAGAGCGCUGGCUUUGCAAGCCAGAGGCCGCGGGUUCGAAUCCCGCCGGGUCCA